CUUUUCCCCCGACCUCGUUUUCUCACCGAGAAUAUGGGAAGAAAACGCACCUUUACCUCCCCCGAGCCCUGUCUACCAUAAGAAAUAGGAUUAAGCUUUUCAAACCCGGCAAGUUGAACUAUUUAUACUUAACAGAGACAAGGCCUUGCUCUGUUACACAGGCUGGAGUGCAGUGGUGUGAUCAUAGCUCACUACAACCUUGAACUCCUGGGCUCAAAAAAUCCUCCGGCCUCAGCCUCCCAAGUAGCUAGGACUAUAGGCACAUAUUACCAUGCCUACUUUUAAAACUUAUUUUUUUUUUUUUAGAGAUAGGGUCUAGCUAUGUUGCCCAGGUUAGUCUUGAACUCCUCGCCUCAGCCUCCCAAAGUGCUGGGAUUACAGGUGUAAUCCCACCACACCCAGCCCCAUAUCUGUUUUUUAAACUUUUUUUCCAGUCAUCUUUCCUUGACUUUAUACUUUCUCUCUUAAUAGAGCACAGAGUGAGCAGAAGUAAACAAAAUAGACACUAGAAAAACACAGAAAAGAUCAAUGAAACUAAGUGAUGGCUUUUAUAAAAGCUAAAAAAAUCAAUAAACCUUUAACUAGACUAGCAGAGAAAAAGAGAGAAGACGCGAAUAAAAUCAGAAAUGAGAAAGGAGACAUUACAAUUGAUACAACAGAAAUAGAAAAGAUAAUGAGACUACUCUGAACAAUUAUAACCAACAAAUUGGAUUAACUAGAAGAAAUGGAUAAUUUCCUUGACACAUAAAACCUACCAAAAUUGAAUUAUGAAGAGAAAGAAAAUCUGAAUUGACCAAUAACAGGUAGGAGACUGAAUCAGUAGUAAAAAGUCUCUCAUCAAAGAAAAGCCCAGGACCACAUGGUUGCACUGGUGAAUGCUACCCAACAUUUAAAGAAUAUUCCUUGUUUGAAUAUUUUUGAUUAGUGAUUCAAACUGCUUACUCAUUAUUGGUCUAUUCAGAUUUUCUAUUUUUCAUGGUUCAGUCUUCCUAGGUUGUAUGUGUCUAGGAACUUAACCAUUUCUUCUAGGUUAUCCAAUUUGCUGGCAUGUAAUUGUUCAUAGUAGUCUCUUAAGAUCCUUUGUGUUUCUGUGGUACCCAUUGUAAUGUCUCCUCUUUCAUUUAUAGUUAUUUGAGUCUCCUGUCUUUCUUAGCCUAGCUAAUGCUUUGUCAACUUUUGUUUUUCAAAAAAAUAAUUUAGUUCACUGAUCUUUUCUAUUGUUUUUCUAGUCUCUAUUUCACUUGUGCUCUAAUCUGUAUUAUUUCCUUACCUCUGUAAACUUAGUUUGUUCUUGUUUAUCUAGUUCCUUCAGAUGGAAAGUUAUGUUACUUAUUUGAGAUCUUUCUUUUUCUUAAUUAGGUAUUUAUCGCUGUCACUUUCCCUCUUGAACUCCUUUUGCUGCAUCUCAUAAAUUUGUGUGUGUGUGUGAUAGAUCUCGCUCUGUUGCCCAGGCUGGAGUGCAGUGGUGUGAUCAUGGCUCACUGCAACCUCUGCCUCCCAGGUUCAAGCAAUUCUUCCACCUCAGCCUCCCAGGUAGCUGGGACUACAGGUGCCUGCCACCACGCCCAGCUAAUUUUUGUAUUUUUAGUAGAGAUGGGGGUUUCACCAUGUUGGCCAGGCUAGUCUUGAACUCCUGACCUCGAGUGAUGUGCCAGCCUUGGCCUCCCAAAGUGCUGAGAUUACAGGCAUAAGCCACUGCACCUAGCCACAUCCCAUAAAUUUUGGUAUGUUGUGUUUCCAUUUUCAUUUGUCUUAAGAUAUUUCUGAUUUCUUCUUUGACCCAUUGGUUGUUCAAGAGUGUUAAUUCCACAUACUUGCGAAUUUUCCAAGUUUUCUCCUGUUACUUAUUUCCAGUUUCAUACCAGUGUAUGAAACCUUUCCUUGAUGUGGUAAUAGAUAUAAAUACACACAUAUGUAUAGGUUUCCAUUUAUGAUUCCUGGCUCAUAACUCCCAGAGUCCUUGUUACAGUCUUUUGUUACAAUGUUGGUAUGUUAGGCCUCUCUGACUUUCUCCAGUGUUCCUUUCACCUGCCCCAAGGCAGGUCUGUAAUCUGAUUGUGGGUCAUAAGACCACUAUUCCAGAGAGGGUCCCAUCCCAUACCCUGGGGGAAGGAAUGCUAACGUCAUGAAGCUUCUAUAAAAAGCCAGGAUGACUGGAUUUAGAGAGCUUCUGGAUAGCUGAACACAUGCAAGUUCCCGGAGGGCAGCUCGCCCAGGGAGGGCAUGGGAGUUCUGUGCCCCUUCCCCCAUACCUCACCCUGAGCAUCUCUUCAUCUAUAUCCUUUGUAAUAAAAUAAAUUGGUAAACAUGU
rnacentral:antisense_RNA from 1 species